AUAAAUCCAGCCGCUCAGUCUGUAACCAAACCAGUACUCAAGUUGGACCAAUAGCAGCCAAGUUUCGUUUAGAGUAACGAUUGGAUUUUUACUCCCAAUUCUAUCAGUCACCUAAGCCGACAUAUUACGUAUCAUUAUCAGUUGAUUCAUAAACAAGUAACGCAGUUCAGUACUAACUUCAGCAAGUCGCCAAAUAAUAUUCAAACCUCUCAUCUAAUAACCCAACAAACU
rnacentral:lncRNA from 1 species